rnacentral:rRNA from 1 species
UACGUAGGUGGCAAGCGUUGUCCGGAAUCACUGGGCGUAAAGCGCGCGCAGGCGGCGUUCUACGUCUGGGGUGAAAGCCCGGAGCUCAACUCCGGGACUGCCUUGGAUACGGGAUCGCUUGAGGAUUGGAGAGGCAAGGGGAAUUCCACGUGUAGCGGUGAAAUGCGUAGAUAUGUGGAGGAACACCUGUGGCGAAGGCGGCGCUCUGGGCCGGUACUGACACUGAGGAGCGAAAGCGUGGGGAGCGAACAGG